UCCAUUCCAAGUGACUCUUGUGAAACGUGCGUCUGCAGUCAUGAAACAGACCCAGGCUCCAAGAGGAAUCUUGUGGAGUGUGAGCCAAUUCAAUGUGAUACAGAAUGCUCAGUGGGUUAUGAAUACCAGGUAACGGCUGGAGAGUGUUGUGGAAAGUGUGUCCAGGUGACUUGCACCAUCAACAUUAAUGGCACCACUCAGGUGCUCAAGCCUGGUGAUAUUUGGCAACCAGAAUCCAAUAACUGCAGCCAUUACGAAUGUGAGAAAGAGGAUGAUCAAUUAAUUUUGGUCAGUUCUAGAAGGACAUGUCCCAUCAUUGACCCAAAUGAG